rnacentral:rRNA from 1 species
AGAAUCAACGCUGGCGGCGUGCCUCAGACAUGCAAGUCGAACGCGAAAUCCCGAGCAAUCGGGAAAGUAGAGUGGCGCACGGGUGAGUAACACGUAGGUAAUCUACCUUCGGAUGGGGAAUAACAACCGGAAACGGUUGCUAAUACCGCAUAAUGCAGCGGCACCUAAUGGUGACAGUUGUUAAAGCGGGGGAUCGAAAGACCUCGCGUCUGAAGAGGAGCCUGCGGCGGAUUAGCUAGUUGGUAAGGUAAUGGCUUACCAAGGCAACGAUCC